rnacentral:rRNA from 11 species
UUUUCCUAACAUUUAUACCCUAGAGGCACCAGAUCCCAUCUGAUCUUGGAAACUAACCAAGGUCAGCCCAGGUAAGUACUUGGAAGGGAGACCACCAACAAAGGUUAUAUUUCAGAGGAAAAA